rnacentral:tRNA from 1 species
CAGGACUUAGCUAAAAUAGUAAAGCAUCUCCCUUACACUGAGAAGUUGCCCGUGCAAAUCAGGCAGUCCUGA